UACAGAGGGGGCAAGCGUUGUUCGGAAUUACUGGGUGUAAAGGGCGCGUAGGCGGCCUUCUAAGUCGAACGUGAAAUCCCCGGGCUCAACCCGGGAACUGCGUCCGAUACUGGAAGGCUUGAAUCCGGGAGAGGGAUGCGGAAUUCCAGGUGUAGCGGUGAAAUGCGUAGAUAUCUGGAGGAACACCGGAGGCGAAGGCGGGUUGCUGGGCCGACACUGACGCUGAGGCGCGAAAGCCAGGGGAGCAAACGGGG
rnacentral:rRNA from 1 species